GGAUAACUACUGGAAACGGUAGCUAAUACCGCAUAAUGUCGCAAGACCAAAGAGGGGGACCUUCGGGCCUCUUGCCAUCGGAUGUGCCCAGAUGGGAUUAGCUUGUAGGUGAGGUAACGGCUCACCUAGGCGACGAUCCCUAGCUGGUCUGAGAGGAUGACCAGCCACACUGGAACUGAGACACGGUCCAGACUCCUACGGGAGGCAGCAGUGGGGAAUAUUGCACAAUGGGCGCAAGCCUGAUGCAGCCAUGCCGCGUGUAUGAAGAAGGCCUUCGGGUUGUAAAGUACUUUCAGCGGGGAGGAAGGGAGUGAGGUUAAUAACCUUAUUCAUUGACGUUACCCGCAGAAGAAGCACCGGCUAACUCCGUGCCAGCAGCCGCGGUAAUACGGAGGGUGCGAGCGUUAAUCGGAAUUACUGGGCGUAAAGCGCACGCAGGCGGUCUGUCAAGUCGGAUGUGAAAUCCCCGGGCUCAACCUGGGAACUGCAUUCGAAACUGGCAGGCUGGAGUCUUGUAGAGGGGGGUAGAAUUCCAGGUGUAGCGGUGAAAUGCGUAGAGAUCUGGAGGAAUACCGGUGGCGAAGGCGGCCCCCUGGACAAAGACUGACGCUCAGGUGCGAAAGCGUGGGGAGCAAACAGGGUUAGAUACCCUGGUAGUCCACGCUGUAAACGAUGUCGACGUGGAGGUUGUUCCCUUGAGGAGUGGCUUCCGGA
rnacentral:rRNA from 1 species